AGUGUUAACUUAGAGUACAAAAAACAUGGAUAGAAACUAUCCAAGAGUCAAUCAGUCAACAUUACAUUACAUGGCCCACAAGAUAGAUCCUAGACAAAAACUAAAGAAAGGACAGACUACACUGGAUCUAAUAGAUAUCAUGGCUGGACGGAUCGGAGUCUGAUGAAUCAGAAAUGGGGUGAGGAGAUGAAGAAUCAUGUCCACGAGCUCAACCUCGACCGUGUCUGCCUCUGCCACGAGUAGAGGUGCCAGCACGAGUAGAGGGGUGAGAAGAUCCUGAAGGCUGAGA
rnacentral:lncRNA from 1 species